UACGUAGGGUGCAAGCGUUAAUCGGAAUUACUGGGCGUAAAGCGUACGCGGGCGGCUUUGCAAGACAGGUGUGAAAUCCCCGGGCCUAACCUGGGAACUGCAUUUGUGACUGCAUGGCUAGAGUUUGUCAGAGGGGGGUGGAAUUCCACGUGUAGCAGUGAAAUGCGUAGAUAUGUGGAGGAACACCGAUGGCGAAGGCAGCCCCCUGGGAUGUGACUGACGCUCAUGUACGAAAGCGUGGGGAGCAAACAGG
rnacentral:rRNA from 1 species